rnacentral:rRNA from 1 species
GAUGAACGCUGGCGGCGUGCUUAACACAUGCAAGUCGAGCGAGAAGUUUUGAAAAGAUUCUUCGGAUGAAAUUUAAAAUGGAAAGCGGCGGACGGGUGAGUAACGCGUAGGCAACCUGCCCCAUACAAAGGGAUAGCAUUUGGAAACGAAUAUUAAUACCUUAUGAAACUUAACUAGUGCAUGCUAGGUAGGUCAAAGAUUUAUCGGUAUGGGAUGGGCCUGCGUCUGAUUAGCUAGUUGGUGAGGUAACGGCUCACCAAGGCGACGAUCAGUAGCCGACCUGAGAGGGUGAACGGCCACAUUGGAACUGAGACACGGUCCAAACUCCUACGGGAGGCAGCAGUGGGGAAUAUUGCACAAUGGGGGAAACCCUGAUGCAGCAACGCCGCGUGAACGAUGAAGGCCUUUGGGUCGUAAAGUUCUGUUCUAGGUGAUGAAAACUGACAGUAACCUA